GAUGAACGCUGGCGGCGUGCUUAACACAUGCAAGUCGAACGAAGCAUUUAGAACAGAUUACUUCGGUUUGAAGUUCUUUAUGACUGAGUGGCGGACGGGUGAGUAACGCGUGGGUAACCUGCCUUGUACUGGGGGAUAGCAGCUGGAAACGGCUGGUAAUACCGCCUAAGCGCACAAUGUUGCAUGACAUGGUGUGAAAAACUCCGGUGGUAUAAGAUGGACCCGCGUCUGAUUAGCUAGUUGGUGAGAUAACAGCCCACCAAGGCGACGAUCAGUAGCCGACCUGAGAGGGUGACCGGCCACAUUGGGACUGAGACACGGCCCAGACUCCUACGGGAGGCAGCAGUGGGGAAUAUUGCACAAUGGAGGAAACUCUGAUGCAGCGACGCCGCGUGAGUGAAGAAGUAAUUCGUUAUGUAAAGCUCUAUCAGCAGGGAAGAUAGUGACGGUACCUGACUAAGAAGCGCCGGCUAAAUACGUG
rnacentral:rRNA from 1 species